CUUGCCCUUCUCCAGGGGAUCUUGCCAACCCAGGUCUCCCACAUUGCAGGCAGAUUCCUUACCAGCUGAGCCGCAAGGGAAGCCCCUUACAUAUGCUGGGAGAGGUAACAGCAUUGUUAUAUACAGUUGAAGAAGAUCCAGCAGAAUGAAAGAAUGAAGACUGAUGAGAAUGAACAAGAACGAAGCAGAGAGAGCAAUGUUGUUGGAGCAGGACCCUUGCACGGAGUAUACAGUGGAGUUUUCAGGAGACUACAUGAUGUAUGACAUGGCAACAGAUUGAAGGCUGAAGUAGAUCUGAGAAUCCAGCUGUCAUCUGCAAAGCCAGACCUUAAAGAGAUUUAUAAACGU